GCGAGUCCGUUAGCAUUGUAGAAUGCUGA
rnacentral:sRNA from 1 species